AACAACAGUCUCGGCUGGACAGUA
rnacentral:snRNA from 1 species